rnacentral:tRNA from 1 species
AAGAAGAUGGUUGAGUGGUUUAAAACAACGAUUUGCUAAAUCGUCACGUACAAAAACUUUAGUAUGUCAUGGGUUCGAAUCCCAUUCUUCUUA